UACGUAGGGUGCAAGCGUUGUCCGGAAUUAUUGGGCGUAAAGAGCUCGUAGGCGGUUUGUCGCGUCUGCUGUGAAAACGCGAGGCUCAACCUCGCGCCUGCAGUGGGUACGGGCAGACUAGAGUGCGGUAGGGGAGAUUGGAAUUCCUGGUGUAGCGGUGGAAUGCGCAGAUAUCAGGAGGAACACCGAUGGCGAAGGCAGAUCUCUGGGCCGUAACUGACGCUGAGGCGCGAAAGCGUGGGGGAGCAAACAGG
rnacentral:rRNA from 1 species